UCUCUCACAAAAUCAAACACCACCGAACCAAACCGCACCUAACCUCACCUCACCGCGAUCCGCUCAUCUCACCGUCGCUCACCGCCGUGCGACGUCGCACAUCGCCACCGCCGCAAAUCACAGUCGCACAUCACCGUUGGCUCGCCUCCAGCUUACAUUCAGAACAGGUUUUGUUGCAAUGUGGGCAAGCUUUUGGAUCUAAAUCGUGGUCAAUAUUGAAAUCAGUUGCAGUUGGAGCCCAUUCAUCAGGGUGAACAGCCCAACAGCAAAUGUAGCCUGAAUUUUGGUGAAGGUUUCAGAAAAUGAGAAGAAAUAUCACCCUUCAAGGGUACUAACCCUUGUCUAUCAACCAUUUGCACUUGGAACAAUGACAAUACUUGCAUAUAAUGAGUCAAAGAUUGACACAAGGCGGUGCAACUUGACUGGAUACAUCCUUUUCUUCAUUUGUACUUUCGCUCUAUUAGUUCUGGAUUUAGCGACAUCAAGGAAGGGAGGAGUUAGAAAUUUUAUUGGUAUAUGCAAUCAUUGUUGCUGCUUUCGGAGUUGCAGAUGCCCAUGUUUAAGGUGGAAUGGAUCCACUAGUCUAAAAGAACCGACGAAGCAAAAAACCUUGAAUCAGUUCAAACAACUUCUGUAGAGACAAGUGUAAGUCAAAAUUGUUGUUUCUAGCAAUCUCGACAUUCUUUAAGGUUCUAUUUAUUCUUUUAUAUGCAUUCAUCUUCCCAAAAUUACCAAUUGUGAAGUACUACCACUUGAAGGCGGCCUCAGAAGGAUCAAAAACUGUUUCAGCAGAUCUUGCUGCUGGUGGCAUCCGAACAGAAGCAACCCAAGGAUUGAAGAGUAUGUAGCAAACCCUUGAUUGCCUACAUAAAUAAUAGCCUUCUAUGGAGCCAGAACUUGAAUGAGUUUUUUUGUAAGUUGUGUUGUGUGAAGUUUGUGAAGCAUUGUCUGUGAUUGGUGACACAAGCCGUGCCCUGCCACAUAAUGCUUUCCAAAUUACAAAGUCAAACCAUCCAAAAUUUCUGAUAUUGAGGUUAGACCUCAGUAAUCUAACUCUUCUUUUUCUUUUUCUUUUUUUAAUUUUUUGAGUAGUACCUCACACUCCAAGGAUGCCUUCUUAUUAGAAGUUAUCUCCAAUUAGUUUUUGUUUACUUUGAUUGCUCGUUAUUUCUUUGUUUUAUUAGUUUUAUGUCAAGGUUUCUUACAUCCUUAUAUUUAAUUACUUAAUUGGAUUUACAUAUGAUCCUGUAGCCCUCCAUUGUUUUUUUGGGUCAUCUUUGGACCUCUAAGUAAGUUUUGGAAUCUAAAUUAUGUUCUCGCCUUUUCCUUGGGUGAAGUUAAUUUGUGAAAUUCUUCAUGAAACUUAGUUUCUACGUUUGCCUUUUUUAGACAAACCAUUUUAUUUAACUAUCAAGUUGGUAACAGCCUCGAAACUGGCCCCGUAUUAGAUAUAAAAAAAAUGGUAUUGAUAACUUGUGUGAUUUGUUCAUGUUACCUUUACUUUUCAUGGACAUUUUUCUUUUUUUGUCAAAUUUUACAAUAAAGUGAUGUGCAAAUAUUAUCAUAAAAAAAGUAAUUGACAUUAUUUUUGUUUUU